GAACAUGGCGGAUAGACUCACGCAACUGCAGGACGCUGUGAACUCGGCUGCUAGCUUAUAUAAGCUAGAAGAAGAAAAUCACGAAGCUGCUACGUGUCUAGAGGAUGUUGUUUAUCGGGGAGACAUGCUUCUGGAGAAGAUCCAAAGUGCACUUGCUGACAUUGCACAGUCACAGCUGAAGACCAGAAGUGUUACCCAUAGUCAGUCUCUCCCAGACUCAUAGCAUCAAUGGCUGAGAUGUGACGGAGAAGAGAACUGUUUGAAUGGCAUUAAGAAUGCCGCAUCAGAUGGAAGCCCUACGGACAGCUGUAGAACAUCAUAUGCUAUGACGGUGUUGCCUUUUUAAGCUAGUUUUCAUUGUUUGCUGUUUUCACUCUUGAUAAGUAAAAGACUUUACAAUUAUAACGGAAUCAUCUUCAAACAUCAUUAUGCCAUCGUUUUUUAUCUGACUAGAAUUUUCAGGACAGAUACUGUACUAAGGUUCAUGAUAUAAUUAAACAGAUAUACAAUAAAGCUCUUUGCUGUUUUG
rnacentral:lncRNA from 1 species